rnacentral:rRNA from 1 species
AGUGAACGCUGGCGGUAGGCCUAACACAUGCAAGUCGAACGGCAGCACAGUAAGAGCUUGCUCUUACGGGUGGCGAGUGGCGGACGGGUGAGGAAUACAUCGGAAUCUACUUUUUCGUGGGGGAUAACGUAGGGAAACUUACGCUAAUACCGCAUACGACCUACGGGUGAAAGCAGGGGAUCUUCGGACCUUGCGCGAUUGAAUGAGCCGAUGUCGGAUUAGCUAGUUGGCGGGGUAAAGGCCCACCAAGGCGACGAUCCGUAGCUGGUCUGAGAGGAUGAUCAGCCACACUGGAACUGAGACACGGUCCAGACUCCUACGGGAGACAGCAGUGGGGAAUAUUGGACAAUGGGCGCAAGCCUGAUCCAGCCAUACCGCGUGGGUGAAGAAGGCCUUCGGGUUGUAAAGCCCUUUUGUUGGGAAAGAAAAGCAGCAGGUUAAUACCCCGCUGUUCUGACGGUACCCAAAGAUUAAGCACCGGCUAACUUCGUG